GGGGACUGUUCUCUGCAGGACAGGAUAAAUCAGGAGAACUGUGAGCUUCUCAAAUCAUACUGUUCAACUCUCAGAGAUACUCCAUCAGGAGGAGCAGGGCAAGAUAGAGAGCAAUUGUUAUCCUCUCUCCAGAGUUCUAUUGGGAGUAAGAAGAGGAAGAACGUGGAGGUCCUGUGGUCAGCUGCAUCGGUAUGUCGUAGGGU